GGGUUCUUAGCUCAGCUGGUAGAGCAGCGGACUCUUAAUCCGUAGGUCGUAGGUUCGAAUCCUACAGGACCCACCA
rnacentral:tRNA from 1 species